CUAUACAUUAUAAAAUAUGUACGUAUUUACUUGGAUUCCUUAAAGACAAUAGCAUAACAGAAUAGAAUAAAAUAGCUUAUGUUGCCUGAAGCAAAACUUGACAAAAAUGUUUAUGUUUAUUAUACCAUAAUCACCACACAUACAUAGUUCGUAUAUUUAGAAUCUUACUGACAAAAUGAAUACAAGUACAUUUUGUAUUUGAAAAAUAUAUGAUGCCGGACUGAAGUUGUAGAAUUUAGGUGAGUAGAUAGGGCUAUGAGUAUAUCUGAUAGUGAUCUGGCUUCACUUUAGAUCACAAAACAUUACUUAAGUUUAUACUUUUGUAGGGUUUAAUGUUAAUUUCCACAGGUUUAUAACUUAGAUGAACAAAAAUAAAAGAAGAAAUUAUACCUUCAUUUAGAUCAGGGAGUGUACUCCAUGAAUUUAAUUAAACUUUCCUUUAAAGUAAGUUUUACAUUGUUUUCCAUUCAAUAUGAAGAAUCAAAUUUUUAAAGUGUUGAAAAAAAUGUGUUUGGUAAGAAUAGAACAAUUCUGAUGUAACUAAAGAAAUUAAGUAUACAUGAAUAUUUGGGCACUGGUAAACUUUUUUUGAAUUGUUCCCUUUUUUUAAAGAUGUCAUCCUGACCAGAGGCCUAAUCAGAAUGAACCAACAAGUUGUUCCUCACCCCUUUACCUCUGGCCGUGUGGGACUUUGUGGAGGCAGAGGGGGCAUGUACAAGAAUAGAAUUACGCUGGGUCCAGUAGCAGCGAUUUCUGCUGUAGCAUCCUAACCUCAAGCUUGCUAAAAUUAUGAGCACAAUCCCACUAAAAAGUCCUCCUGGUCUCCAUCCUUAUUGCAGAGAAGAAAAGUGCAAUUUUCUUAGAGGAGGACUGACUAACGGGGUGUGGGAUUGGUAUGCAAUCAGAGUUCUUUUAACCUGAGCUCAUGCUUGUAUGUAUUGGAUGAGUGCAUCUUUGUUCAUUCUUUUCCACAGGCUUCUAUAUCUAGGAGCUUAAGAAAAUCCAUUCAUCCAAACUCUAGUUUGCCUAAUAUCUCUUCUCAAUAUGGAUGGUGCUUGGCUUGAGUGAAUCAGGUGGUCAUUUUUGUGUAUAGGAAUUUAUCUGCAAGAGGAUAGGCUUUGGAGUAAGAUCUGGAUUAGAACUGCAGCUUUUCCUUAUUUGGAGCAUUGUCUUAGCUUUAGGAAUUUCUUCCUUACAUAGUGACUUUAAAGAUUACAUAAAAUAUCAUCUGACAAAAUGACUAGUACUGUCUCUGGAACAUAAAAGAUGCCCCAGAAUACAGGUUGAACCAGAAAUUUGAAUGUGUAGAUACAGUCCAAGAAAAAUUCAGAGCUGAGUGCUUUGUUAAGAAUGGUGGUUAUAACUUGAGUGGUGCCUGUGGUGGGGGUUGGGGGUGCACAGAGCCCCUCAUCAUCUGGAAAGAGCAAUGAGACCCUGCUUGGGGCUGCUGCCUGAGUCUCAGCUCAGAGUUGCACAUGUAACCAAACUGCAUGAAACUUGAGUCUUUUCUCAUAGCUGCAAGUUAGUCAAGAGUCACAAAACUGGACCUUUACCUUGAUCAGGUGAGGUAAUUGACAUUUUGUGACUGCUUUCUUAAUGCUAAUACAUAAUAAACAGUGCCAUCUACAACAACAACAAAAAAAAAAGAGGUUUACCAAAAAAGUUUUUUGAAACUGGAUGCUUAGAAGCAUGCAAAAAGAAUGAAAGUUGGCACAGAAAUCCAAUAGUUUUUUUUUUUUAAAACACAGAACCUAAUAUAUGAUAGAAUAAAUAAACAUCUGCUGAAUGAAUACACAAAUAAAGGUGAAUUUUAAAUAUGCAAACCACUAAAUUUGAAAAUAAGUAAUUCCAAGUUUACUCCUAACCCUUCCUUUUUUUUUCUUUUGAGAAUAAAAAGUUCAAGUGACUUUAAAGAGUGAAGGGCACUCUAAAACAAUCCAUCUUUAUGUUCACAUAUGUUAAAGAAGAACCUACUGGACAUAUACCAUUAUGGAAUGUAGCUUAAAGUAUAAAUCUCUAAUAAUAUCUGUUUCUUGUAUAAUUUUUUAAAUACAAAUUCUAGCGUAGUCACAUAUUUAUUCAUGGAAUAGUUUAUCAUUUCUUAUGGUACAAAUAUUUACUUAGAAUAUUUUCCUGAACAAUGUAGUCAGUUGUUUACCAAACCUGUCCUUUUACUGUCUUAUGCAAAAAGAUAUGUUUUCAGACAUCCUUGUAAGUUUGGGCUUAGUCAAGACAGCCAAUGUAUGUAGGCCAACAAAAAUGAGUGCCUCAGCUGUAGGCUUUGUGUUGACCUGUUAACCUGAAUUUCAUUUCAGACUACUUUUGUAUUUAAACUUAAAUUCUAUAACCUAUAUACACACGUGGGAUUAAUUCUCAUUUGAGAAUUAUCAUCCUACUUUAGAAUAACUGUAGCAGCAAAAAUAGGUGUUCAUUUCAGCCAUCAACUUUUUUUCAAGACGUGGAACUUGUCUUCUUGAGAGUUCUUCUGUACAGCUCAGGGAAGAGUCAACUUAAAGUGAUACCAAUAGGAGUUUGCAGAGAUGUCACUUCAUAAUGGAUGGUGGCAUCUGUGGAGUUCCUUUAUUCUCUGGCAUUCAUAAAAAUUAUAGCACAAUCUAUAUACAUUUUAAGUGCCAAUAUAAAUAUAAAAACUUUCUAAAUGAUAUUUUCCUAGUGGAUACAAUUCAUAUAAAUCUUAGUGAUUCAAAAUAAAACCAGGUGAUCCUAAUACUUUCUUUGUGGUAUAAAACUUAUGUAUUAGAAACAUUUUAAAAAUGCAGAGUCACCUCAAACUAAAAAUAAGUAAAUGAAGCAGAUCAAAUUUUUAGAGCUGCCAACAUAUUAGCCCACUUAUAAGUCACUUAUAAAGUAAAAAAAUGCCUAUUGCAUGUCCAACUUGCUAGUACAUCUAUAAAGAUUAGAAAGGGUAUUAUCUUUCUAGGAAAUAUACAUUAAAUUUAAUGCAAAAAAACUCCUAUUUCACUAUUGAUUUUCUUCAUUGUACUUUGAAUUUAAGACCCUAAAGAACCUUUCUGUAACACUAAAUUGAAUUUUGCCUGUUUUUUGUCCUAGGAAAAUUGAUGGUGAUUUUAAGCCACUAUUCAAAUAUCUGUCUUAAAAGCAUUCAUUUUUUUUUUUGGUAGCUUGAUAACAUAAUAAAUACUUUAACCAAAGUAAUGAAAUGAAGAUGAUAUACUUAUCUUUGUUUCUACAGUGUUGUAUGAUCUGGUAAAGUACACUUGCAGAAAUUAUCCUGCUGAAUAAACACAUAAUAAACUUAUAUCCAAGUGUUUUUGGAUGAUAAACAUUUCUCAGAGAAGUACGUUUAUUUUAAAGAUGUUUUCUGAUUAUUUUAAAAACAUGUGACUUUCUCUUUUUAGGAACUUUUUGAAAAAAUCUUUGCUAGCAUAGAGCUUUUUCAAGUAAAAGGCACAGAUUUACCCUUCAAGGGUUUCCUUUCCCACUGUCUGGUGUAAAGGACUUAUAAGGACAAAUUUAACUAUAGUAUGGGAGAACUUGAGAUAAAGAAUUUCCACAGAGAAACAAGAGGAUAGUGAUGUCCGACUUUUAUUUACUUCAAAAAAUAAUGUAUCACCUCACAGUUUUUAGCCAUGAUUAGGACCCAAAGAUGUGCCAGUUAAAUAACAUACAGGAGCCAUACCUCACUCAGAUCAAGCCACAAUGUUCUAAUAAACAAUUUGCAUUUAUAAAUCUUCAGCAUGAUAAUGUUAAUAAUUUUCUUUGUAUUGUUCCUUUUUAGUAAAUGUCACAUAUUUUUAGAAUGAAUUGUGAUUAUCUUAUGGGGCCAUCAUAUUAAUAAUUUAUUUUAAUACUAAAAAGCACAUUAGCUGUCCUUCCUCCAAUAUUGGAAUGCCAGUUUUCAGUAUCAAUUCUCUCUGCUGCAGACACAUGCUUAUGUGUUUUGCACCAAUCAAAAUCUUCUCUUUUUUCUUUCUUUCUUUCUCUGCCUUUUCUUCCUCUGUUUCCUGCAGUCUUUCCCCCUCUCUAACCAGUUCCCUUCCCUGCCCUUAGUUCUCCACUGCAGAGUACAGUGAACAUAUUAGGAGCUUUCAGUUGUGGUUGGGCUUCUAACCUUGCUCAACUAUGUCAUUAGCAAGGGGAUUCAGUUUCUUGAAUUCAUUAAUAGUAUUUUGCCACAAAAGGCUUUGUAGUUCUCUCCUGAAUAUUGAGCUUAGCUUAAUAACAUUCCAUUUAUGUUAAAGACACAUUUAAUCUGUAAGUGUGACCUUUAGAAGAAUUCUCUUGUUUUUCAUUAAAGAAACAGUGCAUUACAAAUAUUAAUUAUUCCUUGAUGCCAUAUUUUAAUUAACUAAUCAUGUGCUAUUUGCAGCAAUAAAGAGUAUAGUAAUGUAUGUGCAGUGAUGCUAUGUAAUGCAAGAUCGAUAUCAAAGAAUCCAUUGCUGCAGAAAAGACAUGUUUUGAGUAUCUUCUCUGGAUGAGUUUGCUUAUAUGAAACAUUUAGUCUAGAAUGAUGCUUUGUUUUGCUUUGCGUUUUGUAUUUUUAAAUGCCAAUGUAAGUCUGAUUAAAAUGCUGAACAUAUCGUUAGCCCCAUCACUAAUAAGUGAACGUUCACUGAUGCAUAUUAGCAGGGUCUAGCAAUGUGGUGAAAUUGUCACUUAAGUGCUUGGAAUCUGAACACAGAAAAUGACAGGCAAUGCCGAAGGUCCGGCUCCAGUGCAUGUCUUCACUGUAGCUAGAGUCACUGGAAUGGUGAAACCAGUUUAGGUUCAAGGUCGCUGCUGACAUUCAGCUGUCAUGGCUUCAUUGUCUGCAGGCCUUCUCUCCAUUGACACAUUCAAGAGUACUUUAUAGCAACCACAAAGAGCCAGUCAAUUGAUACCAUUACACUUCAUGCACACACAAACCACAAGCCUGUUCAGGACUGUUGAUACAGUCUAACAUUUAUUCAUUAAGGGAUCUAUUGAAAAUGCAACUUGCCCAGCCCCACUCUUAACAACAUAGACUUACUUGUUUAGUCCAAACAUUUAGCUACGUCUUUUUCAAGUUUUGCACAGCAUUCUCUAAUUGAAGUAACAUUAUCUGCAUUUUAAUGCUACACCAUUUAUGUCCAAUGAAAGAUUACCUGAAGAACCCUGCCAUUACCACACUAGUUUAAAUACAGGCAGCCGUAUAGAAAAAAUAUACACAAAAGAUGUAAGCAGGGGGAAAAGGGAGAUAUUUAUUUGUUCUGGGAGUGCCACGGAAAUCCAAUUGCUCAGAAAUGAAAUAAGAGUCUGAAGUGAAAGGAGGGAAAACCUAAGCUUGGGUCAGGGAAGAGGCAGUGAUUAGCUCCAUUGUUAGGAGCUCUUUGAGCUUCGUUGGUUGUAAAGAAAAACCCACUAAUGAAUCUAUUGAAGCUUGCCAGAACUUUGUGUGGAAGACAACUUAAGUUAUGGUGCUUAUCUAAAAAAUGGUAGUAAAGCAUGUGGAUAUAUAAAACAGCACAUAUGUCUCUUGAUUAACAGCUUGC
rnacentral:lncRNA from 1 species